rnacentral:lncRNA from 1 species
UGAGGCGAGUAGCUAUGAUUCCACUAUUUUCAUCUAAAGAAGCAUCCAAUUCUUCCAUGGCAUCCAACUUGCUACCUGAUAUACGUGCUGCUCAAAGCGAUGUAAUCAAUUUGCAAGAACAAUUAUGCUAAGAGGUUAACGUAUUAAAUCAAACACAUCAAUUUGCAAGAGCAAUUAUGCUGAGAGGUUAACGUAUUAAAUCAAACACAUCAAUUUGCAAGAGCAAUUAUGCUGAGAGGUAAACAUAUUAAAUCAAAACUACUGUUCGGCAACUACCAUACUCUCACCAAAGACAACAGAUAGAGUAAACAGGUGUCUCAUAAUGAAAAAAAGAGAGAGAAAAAGAAUCAGAUAUGCACUUGAGAAUAAUAACCCAUUAUAUUUUUUCCUUUUUUCUUUCAACAUCUUGAUAUUGAGGUGGAUUUGGUUACAGCCAACUCCUACUAGUUGGGAUUGAGGCCUUGCUGUUGUUGUUGUUGAUAAUAGUAAUAGAAACAUGUUUGGUAAUAAAUAGGGGUGGCAAUGGGUACCCGCGGGUCAUAUUUCUUGAUAUAUGUACCCUACCCCGUUACCUAUCGAGUAAAAAAUUUAGAUAUCUAUAAACUAUCAUCAUAUUUCAGUUAUCUAUAUGGGUAUUCAUUAUCUAAUUAUUAUUUAUGAUCCAGUAAAAAAUAGCUUAUAAAAUAAUAAUCAUAUUUAAAUUAUAAAAUUAUAAAUAUAAUAUACGUGUUUUAUUGUAAUAUUAAGAUAUGAAUAUAUCAUAUUGUAUUAAAAAAAAUCUAAAUGUUCUACAAAUAUAUCAAUACAGUGUAACUAUAUAUUUCGGGUUAGGUUUAGAUAAGUUUUGGGUCGGGUUUGACAAUAUUCAUACCUUACCCGCUACUCAUUGGGUAAAGUGACAAUCAAAAAAAUAUCCAUCUAUUCAGGUUGUUAUCUAUUAGGUUCGGAUUAAAUUGUCAUCCCUAGUAAUGGGGUUUAAAGAUUAGGUUUCAUCUAAUCUCAAAAGUGGAAAAACCAAAACAGUCCUCUGUAUAAUCUGUGAAGACAAUCAUGUCUGAUACCCCAAACUAUCAUAUUAAUCCAGACAUUCAGUCUGAUAGUAUGACAUCAACCUCGGUCACAAGAUCAGAAGAUAAGCAUUUCAUUCUCGGCAAUUUUUUUAACCAGAUAAAUGUAUUACAAAUGCAGAAACUUAGUGCAU